rnacentral:rRNA from 1 species
GCAAACUGGAUGACUCGGGCUUUUCUUGCGCAGCCUAGGUGGGAGGCGUUGAAGGUCCCCUUCCGGGGGGGCUAGAGCCAUCAUUGAGAGACCACUCUGGAAGAGCUAGAGUUCUAAUGGUGAUCUUUGAAACAAGACACUUGACAGUUUCAGGUGGGCAGUUUUCCUGGGGCGGGAACCUCCUAAAGCGUAACGGAGGUGUGCAAAGGUUCUCUCAGUCUGGACGGAAAUCAGACAUUGAGUGUAAAGGCAAAAGAGAGCUUGACUGUAAGACCAACAAGUCGAGCAGGGGCGAAAGCCGGCCUUAGUGAUCCGACGGUGCCGUGUGGAAGGGCCGUCGCUCAACGGACAAAAGUUACUCUAGGGAAAACAAGGCUGAA